CUACGGGGGGCAGCAGUGGGGAAUAUUGCACAAUGGGGGAAACCCUGAUGCAGCCAUGCCGCGUGUGUGAAGAAGGCCUUCGGGUUGUAAAGCACUUUCAGUAGGGAGGAAGGUAGUGUAGUUAACACCUGCAUUAUUUGACGUUACCUACAGAAGAAGCACCGGCUAACUCCGUGCCAGCAGCCGCGGUAAUACGGAGGGUGCGAGCGUUAAUCGGAAUUACUGGGCGUAAAGCGCAUGCAGGCGGCCUGUUAAGUCAGAUGUGAAAGCCCGGGGCUUAACCCCGGAAUUGCAUUUGAAACUGGCAGGCUAGAGUCUUGUAGAGGGGGGUAGAAUUUCAGGUGUAGCGGUGAAAUGCGUAGAGAUCUGAAGGAAUACCAGUGGCGAAGGCGGCCCCCUGGACAAAGACUGACGCUCAGAUGCGAAAGCGUGGGGAGCAAACAGGAUUAGAUACCCCCGUAGUC
rnacentral:rRNA from 1 species